rnacentral:misc_RNA from 1 species
UGGCGGCCGCCGCGAUCUCGGCGUUCUUUACUGCCGUCGGCGGCGGCUUCUACGCAGCGUUCGUCUCCUACAUUGAUCCCGACAGCGUGAUGCAUUUCCGCUUCUCGCUGCUGAUGGCGCUGCCUGCGGUGCUCGGCNUGUCGGCUCGCUGUGGGGUCCGGCGAUCGGCGCGCUGAUCCUGAUUCCGCUGGCGGAACUGACACGCUCCUAUCUCGGCGGCUCAGGGUCCGGCCUUGACCUCGUGAUCUACGGCGGNUCAUGAUCGUCUCGCUGACACGGCCGGAAGGCAUUCUCAGCAUCAUCAAGCCACCGGCUGC